ACGAACGCUGGCGCGUGCUUAACACAUGCAAGUGGAGCGACGAACCAGGCUUCGGCCUGGGGCAAGCCGCGAACGGGUGAGUAACACGUGGGUAACCUGCCCGAUGACGCGACAGACAACCCGAGGAAACUCGGCUAAUACCGGAUGUGCUCUCUCCAUCACACCAGUGAGGCGAGCAAGGUAGCUUCGGCCCUCCGCAUCGGGAUGGGCCCGCGGCCCAUUAGCUUGUUGUGCAGGAGUAACGGCCUCACCAAGGCCGCGAAUGGGUAGCUGGUCUGAGAGGACGAUCAGCCACACUGCGACUGAGACACGGCCCAGACUCCUACGGGAGGCAGCUAGUGGGGAAUCUUGCGCAUAGCGCGAAAGCGUGACGCAGCCAACGCCGCCGUGGGGGCGAAGAAGGCCUUCGGGUUGUAAAGCCCUUUCAGGAGGGACGAAGCAUCCGUCGUUAAUAGCGGUCCGGAGUGACGGUACCUCCACAAGAAGCCCCGGCUAACUACGUGCCAGCAGCCCGCGGUAAUACGUAUGGGGGCAAGCGUGUGUCCCGGAAUCAUUGGGCGUAAAGAGCGCGUAGGCGGUCCGCGUAAGUCCGCUCUGAAAGUCCGGGGCUCAACCCCGGAAGGGCGGGCGGAUACUGUCGGGCUAGAGUCAGGAAGAGGCGAGUGGAAUUCCUGGUUGUAGCGGUGUGAAAUGCGCAGAUAUCAGGUAGGAACACCGAUGGCGAAGGCAGCUCGCUGGGACGGUACUGACGGCUGAGGCGCGAAAGCGUGCCGGAGCAAACAGGGUUAGAUACCCUGGUAGUCCACGCCGUAAACGAUGGGCACUAGGUGUGGGAGGUGUCUGACUCCUCCCGUGCCGCAGCUAACGCAUUAAGUGCCCCGCCUGGGAGUACGGCCCGCAAGGCUAAAACUCAAAGGAAUUGACGGGGGCCCGCCACAAGCAGCGGAGCAUGUGGUUUUAAUUCGCACGCAACGCGGAAGAACCUUACCUGGGCUUGACAUGUGAUGUGACAGGUGUGGAAACACACCCUCCCUUCGGGGCACUCUCACAGGUGGUGCAUAUGGCCUGUCGUCAGCUCGUGGUCGUGAGGAUGUUGGGUUAGUCCCGCAACGAGCGCAGCCCCCGUCGCAUGUUGCCAGCGGUUCGGGCCGGGGACUCAUGCGAUGACUGCCGGUUGACAAACCGGCGAGGAAGGUGGGGAUGACGUCAAGUCAUCAUGCCCCUUAUGUCCAGGGCUACAACACGUGCUAACAUUGGCGCAUACAAAGGGCUGCGAUACUGCGAGGUGGAGCGAAUCCCAAAUAAGUGCGUCUCGGUUCGGCAUUGGAAGGCUGAAACUCGCCUCCAUGACAGGCGGAGUUGCUAGUAAUCCCGAAUCAGCAACGUCGGGGUGAAUACGUUCCCGGGCCUUGUACACACCGCCCGUCCACACCACGAAAGCGGGCACACCCGAAGCCGGUGGCCUAACCCUUUUGGGAGGGAGGCCGUCGAAGGUGGGGCUCGUGAUUGGGGGU
rnacentral:rRNA from 1 species